AGCGUAGGCGGAUUUUUAAGUGAGAUGUGAAAUACUCGGGCUUAACCUGAGUGCUGCAUUUCAAACUGGAAGUCUAGAGUACGGUAGAGGGUGGUGGAAUUUCCCGUGUAGCGGUGAAAUGCGUAGAUAUAGGAAGGAACACCAGUGGCGAAGGCGACCACCUGGACUGAUACUGACACUGAGGUGCGAAAGCGUGGGGAGCAAACA
rnacentral:rRNA from 1 species